GAUCCUGGCUCAGGAUGAACGCUGGCGGCGUGCCUAACACAUGCAAGUCGAACGAGGUAAAUAAGAGGAAGUUCUCGGAUGGAACCGUAUUUACCGAGUGGCGGACGGGUGAGUAACGCGUGGAUAACCUGCCUCAUACAGGGGGGAUAACAGUUAGAAAUGACUGCUAAUACCGCAUAAGCGCACAGUACCGCAUGGUACGGUGUGAAAAACUCCGGUGGUAUGAGAUGGAUCCGCGUCUGAUUAG
rnacentral:rRNA from 1 species